rnacentral:rRNA from 1 species
GAUGAACGCUGGCGGCGUGCCUAAUACAUGCAAGUCGAGCGAACAGACGAGGAGCUUGCUCCUCUGACGUUAGCGGCGGACGGGUGAGUAACACGUGGAUAACCUACCUAUAAGACUGGGAUAACUUCGGGAAACCGGAGCUAAUACCGGAUAAUAUAUUGAACCGCAUGGUUCAAUAGUGAAAGACGGUUUUGCUGUCACUUAUAGAUGGAUCCGCGCCGCAUUAGCUAGUUGGUAAGGUAACGGCUUACCAAGGCGACGAUGCGUAGCCGACCUGAGAGGGUGAUCGGCCACACUGGAACUGAGACACGGUCCAGACUCCUACGGGAGGCAGCAGUAGGGAAUCUUCCGCAAUGGACGAAAGCCUGACGGAGCAACGCCGCGUGAGUGAUGAAGGUCUUCGGAUCGUAAAACUCUGUUAUUAGGGAAGAACAAAUGUGUAAGUAACUAUGCACGUCUUGACGGUACCUAAUCAGAAAGCCACGGCUAGCUACGUG